rnacentral:rRNA from 1 species
GAUGAACGCUGGCGGCGUGCCUAAUACAUGCAAGUCGAGCGAACGGACGAGAAGCUUGCUUCUCUGAUGUUAGCGGCGGACGGGUGAGUAACACGUGGAUAACCUACCUAUAAGACUGGGAUAACUUCGGGAAACCGGAGCUAAUACCGGAUAAUAUUUUGAACCGCAUGGUUCAAAAGUGAAAGACGGUCUUGCUGUCACUUAUAGAUGGAUCCGCGCUGCAUUAGCUAGUUGGUAAGGUAACGGCUUACCAAGGCAACGAUGCAUAGCCGACCUGAGAGGGUGAUCGGCCACACUGGAACUGAGACACGGUCCAGACUCCUACGGGAGGCAGCAGUGGGGAAUCUUCCGCAAUGGGCGAAAGCCUGACGGAGCAACGCCGCGUGAGUGAUGAAGGUCUUCGGAUCGUAAAACUCUGUUAUUAGGGAAGAACAUAUGUGUAAGUAACUGUGCACAUCUUGACGGUA